rnacentral:rRNA from 1 species
UCGAGAAUAUUGGUCAAUGGGGGAAACCCUGAACCAGCGACGCCGCGUGCUCGAAGAAGCCCUUCGGGGUGUAAAGAGCUUUUAUGGAGGAGGAAUUCGCCGCAAGGCGAAUGACGGUACUCCAGGAAUAAGGGGGUGCAAAUUCUGUGCCAGCAGCCGCGGUAAGACAGAACCCCCGAGCGUUAUCCGGAUUUAUUGGGCGUAAAGGGUCCGUAGGUGGUUUGAUAAGUCUGACGUAAAAGCCUUUGGGCUUAACCUAAGGGAGGCGCCAGAGACUAUCAAACUAGAGGGCGUUAGAGGCUGAUAGAACGUUCGGUGUAGGGGUGAAAUCCGUUGAUAUCGAACGGAAUACCAAAAGCGAAAGCAUUCAGCUGGGGCGGCCCUGACACUGAGGGACGAA